GAAAUCAAUUGAAACUAUAAACAAAGAUAUAAAUAACAAGGUAAGACAUAAUAGAAAAGGAUCCUCAACAUUAAUUAACAAUACCAAUUUUGAUAAAUUAACAAAAAAAACCAUUAUCAAAUUUCUGCAAACAAUAACUGAAAAAAAAGUUUACUUCAAACAUAACCACCUCUCAUCAUCCUACUGCAGAAACCUAACCUUGGCAAUCCAAAGAAAACGGCUCUUCAACGGUACU